rnacentral:rRNA from 1 species
AGCGCAAGUGACGGUACCUGCAGAAGAAGCACCGGCUAACUACGUGCCAGCAGCCGCGGUAAUACGUAGGGUGCGAGCGUUGUCCGGAAUUAUUGGGCGUAAAGAGCUUGUAGGCGGUUUGUCGCGUCUGCCGUGAAAAUUCGAGGCUCAACCUCGAACUUGCGGUGGGUACGGGCAGACUAGAGUGUGGUAGGGGAGACUGGAAUUCCUGGUGUAGCGGUGAAAUGCGCAGAUAUCAGGAGGAACACCGAUGGCGAAGGCAGGUCUCUGGGCCACUACUGACGCUGAGAAGCGAAAGCAUGGGGAGCGAACAGGAUUAGAUACCCUGGUAGUC